CGCGGGGUGGAGCAGUUCGGUAGCUCGUCGGGCUCAUAACCCGAAGGUCACAGGUUCAAAUCCUGUCCCCGCUACCA
rnacentral:tRNA from 3 species